GCCAGUGUGGCCUAGUGGUUUAAGUGUUGGAUUAUGACUCUAAACACUAGGGUUCAAUUCCCAGUUUGGCC